UCCUACGGGAGGCAGCAGUAGGGAAUCCUCCACAAUGGGCGAAAGCCUGAUGGAGCAACGCCGCGUGGGUGACGCCGGUCUUCGGCUCGUCCCCCCCUGUUGUUCGCGCCGCACGUGCGCGAGAGUAACUGUUCACGUUUCGACGGUAUCUAACCAGAAAGCCACGGCUAACUACGUGCCAGCAGCCGCGGUAAUACGUAGGUGGCAAGCGUUAUCCGGAUUUAUUGGGCGUAAAGGCAACGCAGGCGGUCUUUUAAGUCUGAUGUGAAAGCCUUCGGCUUAACCGGAGUGGUGCAUUGGAAACU
rnacentral:rRNA from 1 species